rnacentral:piRNA from 3 species
GUUGCAAAGCUGAAACUUAAAGG